GAUGAAGAACGCAGUGAAAUGCGAUAAGUAAUGUGAAUUGCAGAAUUCAGUGAAUCAUCGAAUCUUUGAACGCACCUUGCACCCUUUGGUAUUCCGAAGGGUAUGCUCGUUUGAGUGUCAUUGUACUCUCACACUUCUAAUUCCUUUCGGGAUUGGGAGCGGUGGACUUGGGUGUUGCUGCUUUAGUUGUGGCUCACCUCAAAUAUGUUAGUGCAACUCUUGGUUGGACAUAGUACGGCGUGAUAAGUGUCUUCGCCGGCGCCUCUGUAAGGAGGGUGGCCGAUCGGGAGCUCUGUGCUUCAAACCGUCUUCGGACAAUCUUUGACAACUUGACCUCAAAUCGAGUAGGACUACCCGCUGAACUUAAGCAUAUCAAUAAGCGGAGGA
rnacentral:misc_RNA from 1 species